CGGUAAUUCCAGCUCCAAUAGCGUAUACUAAAGUUGUUGCAGUUAAAAAGCUCGUAGUUGGAUUUCUGCGGGGACGGAGCGGCCGGACGCAACUUGCGUCUCGAGCUAGCGCUUUCCCCACAUCCUGCCGCGAACCGUGCUACCAUUAGUUUGGUGGCGCUGGGGAUCGGCUCGAUUACUUUGAGAAAAAUAGAGUGUUCAAAGCAGGCCACACGCCUUGAAUAAGUUAGCAUGGAAUAAUGACUAAGGACUUUGGUUCUUUUCGUUGGUGUUCGGGACUGAAGUAAUGAUUGAUAGGGACAGUUGAGGCGGUCCGUAUUCCAAAGCGAGAGGUGAAAUUCUUAGACCUUCGGAAGACGAACAGCUGCGAAAGCGUUCCGCAAGGAUGUUCCCUUUGAUCAAGAACGAAAGUUGGGGGAUCGAAGACGAUCAGAUACCGUCGUAGUCUCAACUAUAAACUAUACCAGCUAGGGAUCGGCCAACGUUUAAUUAAUCGACUUGGUCGGCACCUUAUGAGAAAUCAAAGCAUCUGGGUUCCGGGGGGAGUAUGGUCGCAAGGCUGAAACUUAAAGGAAUUGACGGAAGGGCACCACCAGCCGUGGAGCCUGUGGCUUAAUUUGACUCAACACGGGAAAACUUACCAGGUCCAGACAUAGGAAGGAUUGACAGAUUGAUAGCUCUUUCUUGAUUCUGUGGGUGGUGGUGCAUGGCCGUUUUUAGUUGGUGGAGUGAUUUGUCUGCUUAAUUGCGUUAACGAACGAGACCCCAGCCUGCUAAAUAGCGCGGCUGAGCUUUGCUCGGUGCGAGCUUCUUAGAGGGACCAUGAUGCGCGAUAGCACAAGGAAGUUUGGGGCAACAACAGGUCUGUGAUGCCCUUAGAUGUUCUGGGCCGCACACGGGCUACACUGGCGCCUGCAACGAGCAUAUCAGCUGGCCCGAGAGGGUCUUGGCUAAUCUUUUGAACCGGCGCCGUGCUUGGGAUUGACCUUUGCAAUUGUUGGUCAUGCAACGAGGAAUGCCUUGUAAACGCGAGUCAUCAGCUCGCAUUGAAUACGUCCCUGCCCUUUGUACACACCGCCCGUCGCUCCUACCGAUGAAUGUUCCGAUGAAAUUUUCGGAGAGCGCCAGAGAACGGGGCUCCGCCUUGCAGAUCUGGAGGCUCAAAGUCACUUAAAUCUGAACAUUUCGAGGAAGGAGAAGUCGUAACAAGGU
rnacentral:rRNA from 1 species